UACGGGGGGGGCAAGCGUUGUUCGGAAUUACUGGGCGUAAAGGGCUCGUAGGCGGCCAACUAAGUCAGACGUGAAAUCCCUCGGCUUAACCGGGGAACUGCGUCUGAUACUGGAUGGCUUGAGAUUGGGAGAGGGAUGCGGAAUUCCAGGUGUAGCGGUGAAAUUCGUAGAUAUCGAGAGGAACACCGGUGGCGAAGGCGGCCUUCUGGACAGUGACUGACGCUGAGACGCGAAAGCGUGGGGAGCAAACAGG
rnacentral:rRNA from 1 species